rnacentral:sRNA from 1 species
UUUCUCUAACAUUCUGUUAAGAUAUGUCCUGAUCUCCUAAAGCCACAGAAGCCCAGAAACUCAAAGUAAAUUUUCUCUUCGGUAAAUCAGAAGGCUCUGCAUAAAUACAGCCAAUUGUUAAACAUUUAGCUGCACACACUGGGCUCAUCUUCAUUAUUGGUAAAAUGAGCUAGACGAUAUUUUUCCAUUAGCUCACACUCCAAUUCCAAUCGACCUGACCAGCAGAAGAGACAAAAAAGGAAAAUCCUGGCCAGUUGUCCCCUACCUGAUCAACCAGUAACAUAAUCAGAUUUGCAAGACCUCAAGAAAAGAAACCUGAAAAUGCCACUGGAGGUGUGUGUUUUGCCAAAGAAAAAAGAAUCAAAAACAAAACCUGCAGGAUGAGGACAAACAAACAAAGAGCAGGGACAGAGUCUCACUAUGUUGACACCCUGGACAACACUCUUGAAGUACUCUCUUCCCAGGGAGGCCACAGUCAUAGCAUGCAAGGGGUCUCAGCCAUGAACCUUGUGAUGGAUAAGGAAAAGAUAUUCUUUUUCUCCCCUUACAGUUUCUGGCAGCCAACAUGGGGUGGCUGCGACACCCCACUAGUUCCAAAACCUGCAGAUGAGAUCCUGAGACAACUAA